CUCGGUAGACCGUCGUGUUACAACCUAGAAAACUGCUCACGAAGUGGGAAUAAGCACAAGAUCAGUGCAUUAAUGGAGGGUUUGCCCAUGCAGAGAGUGUCGGCGAAAUUCAUCCCCAAGGUGGUGCUGGCAGAGCAACAGAAGCAAAUCCGUAUAUAAAUCGCUCAGGAUACGCUAGAUGGUGAAACCACGACCCAAACUUCAUAAAGACCAUCAUCUGUGGUGAUAAGAUUCGGGUAUAUGAUUUCUGCUCGAUGUGUGAAAACAGAAAUCAGACGAGCGUGCACUACAUACACAUUGUACUCUAGACGUAACAGCCAGGAACUGACACGACCUACCGCUUUGAUGGUGAGUGAUACAAAACGAAUUGCGAUGAGAGCGAUUUUACGUUACCUGAGGUAAAAAAGGAUUGAGUUUAAUGGCAGCAGCAAAAGAAAGAUGAUGAUGUGGAAGAUUCAAGAAUAGUCAUCGAAUAAAUGGCACAAAACUGGAUGAGAUGUUUCAAGGAAAGUGACGCUUGCCUCGUAGACAAGUCACGAUCAGAGAGACAUUUUGUUGUGGAAGGUGAGACCUUGCAUGAAAUGGUUGAACAGUCAAGCACAAGCAUUCGUACAUUGCCGGCUGGACUUGGUCCUUCAUAAAGCACUAUCAAUUAAUUUUGUAAAACGGUAAACACACACACAUAUAUUUUAUAUUGGUUUCAAAUUUUCGGCACAAGACCUACUGAACCCCUCCCCCAGCAGUGCUUAUUUUAUCGAAAGAAUGAAAGACAAAUUGAACCUCGGCAAUGAUGAUGAUGAUGAUGAUGAUAUAUAUAUAUAUAUAUAUAUAUAUCAUAGUCAUCAUCGUCAUCAUCAUCAUUUAACGUCUGUCUUGUUAGCAUAGGUGGGAAGGUGCUACAAGAGCCGGCCAGGCUGAAGCCUGCACCAGAUUUCUGUGACUAUUUUGGCAGGAUUUUUACAGCUGGAUGCUAUACGGAACAAAAUGCCACAAUAUAUAUAUAUAAAACCCUUGAUUCAAUAAUACUGUGUAUAAACUCUAUACUUGGAAUGACCAAUUUUAAAGACUAUUGGAUUUUACUCAUAAGGUAUUGGAAUCUUAUAUGUAUACUAUUCUACCUAAAUAAUGGAUUUACAAAUACAAUAUCCCUGCAUAUCACACAUCUAUUUUCGUUCCUCCAAUUCACUCUCUAUUCCGUAUCUUAUCUAAAUUAACUAUUGCUUAACCAUCUUCUCACACCGUCUCCGAUGAAGGGAUAUAAUAAAUAUCCUGGAAACAGCUGUAAGACCUUCUAUUUAUAAAUGUUCUAAAAUCUACACAGCCUUGGUAUUUUUAUCUCAUUACGAAAAGUAAAUCCAUAUAUAUAUGUCCAUACAUAUAUGUAUAUGCUUCCCUGUUUUUUCGUUGUUCGAAAAAAGUUCGUUUUCUGUUUUCGUGUUUAUGUUUUCGUUUCUCAUUGUGUUUAACAUGUUUUUGUGAUGUCCUGUACCCAUAUAUGCAUGUAUGUAUACAUAUAAAUGUAGGUAUGGAUAUAUGCAUAUGUUUAUAUAUUAUUUAUAUUAUAUAUAUAUAUAUAUAUAAUUAAGUUGUAAUUCACCU